rnacentral:rRNA from 1 species
AACGCGAAGAACCUUACCAGCCCUUGACAUCCCGGUCGCGGACUCCAGAGACGGAGUUCUUCAGUUCGGCUGGACCGGAGACAGGUGCUGCAUGGCUGUCGUCAGCUCGUGUCGUGAGAUGUUGGGUUAAGUCCCGCAACGAGCGCAACCCCCGUCCUUAGUUGCUACCAUUUAGUUGAGCACUCUAAGGAGACUGCCGGUGAUAAGCCGCGAGGAAGGUGGGGAUGACGUCAAGUCCUCAUGGCCCUUACGGGCUGGGCUACACACGUGCUACAAUGGCGGUGACAAUGGGACGCUAAGGGGCAACCCUUCGCAAAUCUCAAAAAGCCGUCUCAGUUCGGAUUGGGCUCUGCAACUCGAGCCCAUGAAGUUGGAAUCGCUAGUAAUCGUGGAUCAGCAUGCCACGGUGAAUACGUUCCCGGGCCUUGUA